GAUGAACGCUGGCGGCGUGCCUAAUACAUGCAAGUCGAGCGAACAGAUCAGGCGCUUGCUCCUUUCACGUUAGCGGCGGACGUGUGAGUAACACGUGGAUCCCCUCCCUAUAUGACUGAUAUAACUCCGGGAAACCGGGGCUAAUGCGGGAUGACAUUUAGAACCGCAUGGUUCUAAAGUGAAAUAUGGUUGUGCUAUCACUUAUAGAUGGACCCGGGCCGUAUUAGCUAGUUGUUAAGUUAACGGCUUACCAAGGCAACGAUACGUAGCCGACGUGAGAGGGGGAUCGGCGACACGGGAAGUGAGACAGGGUCCAGACGCCUACGAGAGGGAGCAGUAGGGAAUGGUAGGCAGUGGGCGAAAGCAUGACGGAGCAACGCGGAGUGAGUGAUGAAGGUGCUCGGAUCGUAAUAAUCUGUUAUUAGGGAAGAACCAAUGUGUAAGUAACUGUGCAGGGAGUGACGGUAACUAAUCAGAAAGCAACGGCUAACUACGUG
rnacentral:rRNA from 1 species